rnacentral:lncRNA from 1 species
GUGGGAUCAAUUAGAAUCUGUAAUAACUUUAUGUCUACAUGUUUCUCUAUAAAUGAAUUUGGUCUGAUAUGCUUGUAUCUAUUUGGGAAUGUCAUUAGCUUUAUUCAAGUAUUUUUAGUGUAAUUAAAGGUUCAGAUUCAGUUUCUUCGAUAGUUUAAAUAUGUUUGGGUAUAAUUAGGGCUAGAUGAAAUGGAAAUAGGGAAUUUGAGGUAGGUUCAAACUGUUUAGACACAUUUUUGUUUUGAAUAUAAUAUCAUUGCAUUGAAGUUAUUGUUGAGUGCUUGGAAUUAUAGCUGGUCACACUAAGUCUAGGUGGUUCCUAAUAGUUUAAAUCU